GCUGGGCAUGGUGGCGUGUGCCUGUAAUCCCAGCUACUCCGGAGGCUGAGGCAGGAGAAUUGCUUGAACCCAGGAGGCAGAGAUUGCAGUGAGCCGAGAUCACGCCACUGCACUCCAGCCUGGGUGACAGAGCAAGACUCUGUCUCAA
ensembl:misc_RNA Metazoa_SRP Metazoan signal recognition particle RNA